UUCGACGUCUGCAGCAUGUGCAGAUAGGAGAUAAUAUCUGUAACAAGUUCACUGUUAACCGGAGAUAUCUGACCAUAACAAACAAUGAACUUUACAUAGGCAUCCCAUGCUGUGUGUAUCAGUUUGUGUGUGUGUGUGUGUGUGUGUGUGUGUGUGUGUGUGGGGUGUCCACAGGUGGGUCGCCAUGGCUCCAAACCAAGGAGGGAGGAUAAGUGCUGAGUGAGCACCGACAACAGCUACUCUGUCUUUCUCAAACAUCUUCAAGGUCCCCGUGGAAGGGAUAAAUGGCCGAGAGGAGGUGCCGUCCCAGGAGACACUCAUCUGGACCUUUACAGGGAGCCGGCGCGCAGCGGACAGGGCAGCAGGACUCUUUGCACUCGCUGUUCCUUUUUCCUAUGCAUAUACCUUUUUCAGAUGUAACUUUAAAGAGGCAUAGGGCAUGGGAAAAUGGGGCUGCAGAGGUAUUCCACCUGGCCGUUUCAUCAUCUUCUCCGCGGGACAGCUGACCUCAAAGCGCACACACAUACACACAAACACACACACACA